rnacentral:rRNA from 1 species
AGCGAACGCUGGCGGCAGGCCUAACACAUGCAAGUCGAACGAACCUUUCGGGGUUAUUGGCGGACGGGUGAGUAACACGUGGGAACGUGCCUUUAGGUUCGGAAUAACUCAGGGAAACUUGUGCUAAUACCGAAUGUGCCCUUCGGGGGAAAGAUUUAUCGCCUUUAGAGCGGCCCGCGUCUGAUUAGCUAGUUGGUUGAGGUAAUGGCUCACCAAGGCGACGAUCAGUAGCUGGUCUGAGAGGAUGAUCAGCCACAUUGGGACUGAGACACGGCCCAAACUCAUACGGGAGGCAGCAGUGGGGAAUCUUGCGCAAUGGGCGAAAGACUGACGCAGCCAUGCCGCGUAAAUGAUGAAGGUCUUAGGAUUGUAAAAUUCUUUCAACGGGGACGAUAAUGACGGUACCCGGAGAAGAAGCCCCGGCUAACUUCGUG